UGGGGAAUUUUGGACAAUGGGCGCAAGCCUGAUCCAGCCAUGCCGCGUGCGGGAAGAAGGCCUUCGGGUUGUAAACCGCUUUUGUCAGGGAAGAAAUCCUUUGAGCUAAUACCUCGGGGGGAUGACGGUACCUGAAGAAUAAGCACCGGCUAACUACGUGCCAGCAGCCGCGGUAAUACGUAGGGUGCAAGCGUUAAUCGGAAUUACUGGGCGUAAAGCGUGCGCAGGCGGUUAUGCAAGACAGAGGUGAAAUCCCCGGGCUCAACCUGGGAACUGCCUUUGUGACUGCAUAGCUAGAGUACGGUAGAGGGGGAUGGAAUUCCGCGUGUAGCAGUGAAAUGCGUAGAGAUGUGGAGGAACACCGAUGGCGAAGGCAGCCCCCUGGGCCGAUACUGACGCUCAUGCACGAAAGCGUGGGUAGCAAACA
rnacentral:rRNA from 1 species